rnacentral:rRNA from 1 species
UCCAGACUCCUACGGGAGGCAGCAGUUAGGAAUAUUCGGCAAUGGGGGAAACCCUGACCGAGCAAUGCCGCGUGUGAGAUGACGGCCCUAUGGGUUGUAAAUCACUUUUAUUUGGGAAGAAUUGUAAGCAUAGGAAAUGAUGUUUACUUGACGGUACCUUUUGAAUAAGCCCCGGCUAACUACGUGCCAGCAGCCGCGGUAAUACGUAGGGGGCGAGCGUUAUCCGGAUUUAUUGGGCGUAAAGCGUGCGUAGGCGGUAUGUCAAGUCAAGGGUGAAAUCCCCGCGCUCAACGUGGGAACUGCCUUUGAAACUGGCAAACUGGAGUGUGUGAGAGGAUAGUGGAAUUCCAGGUGUAGGAGUGAAAUCCGUAGAUAUCUGGAGGAACAUCAGUGGCGAAGGCGACUAUCUGGCACAUAACUGACGCUGAGGAGCGAAAGCGUGGGUAGCAAACAGGAUUAGAUACCCCCGUAA